AGCUUCAGAUCUCCAGGUUCCUGGUUCACCAUGGACCUGAUGAAGAAUGCAAGGCGAUGGAAGCUGCCUGCAGCACUGGACAUGUACAAGAGUAUGUACCAGAAGGACUUUUGCUGGCACAACACCUACGAGCCACCCAACCAGGAGAACGUACCGAUAACUUCAUACCAUCCUACUUCAGAUGGCUACGUACCAAGGUGCUACCUACCCAAGUCCGAGCCUCCCAUCCAAGCGACACCAGGCCGGUCAGGGAAACUGGAGAUCCUCUCUGAGCCGCAGGAAGGGCUGCUCUGUUGUUGCCGGGAUCUCCCACCUCCUGCUCCAGCAGCCGGAACAGAAGGGACGAUGCUGCACAGGGAGAAAGUGUCCCCAGGCUUGGUCUCCUACGUGCAAUUCACCCGGGAUUUGUACCGGGAAAGGCUGGACAAUGCUGAUCAAUACAAAAACAAGAUGCUGGGCUCAUCUGUUGUGAUGGAAGACUGCUCUGUACCUGACUGGAGAAGUACCUACCAGCUGGAUUUCCCACGCCGGACAGGAGUCCAUGGUGGAUUAUACACAGAGCAGACGAGGCCUUCUCCCGUUUUCCCUGCAGACAGCCGCCUCAACCAGGGCCGCUGGGUAUCUGAGUAUGCAGACAACUACAGUGUUUUCUUGAAGAAGCUGGACUGGUCCACUCCAAUCCCUUGUCCAUGGAUGCUGUCUGGGAAGGAUAUGCGAUGGAGACCGCGAUGCACACCACGAUGCCCUGAGUGGUGCUAAGGUGGCCAUGCUCCUUGGCCCUCCAAGCUGCCUGUAAUAUUGCUCAUCCAAGACCCUGAAAGCCUGGAAACCUCCUCUCUUCCAAACCAUGUCUAUCAGAUGUGAAACGUAUGGCAAAGACCUCUUUAAGUGCAAAUUAUCAUUAAAAUCUCCCAAGAACCUCAGCUUUUAUCAUUGUCAGAAAAAGACUUUUUUGGGGGAACAGUGUGGGCUACAGAGCCAAGUC
rnacentral:lncRNA from 1 species